AGAGUUUGAUCAUGGCUCAGAAUCAACGCUGGCGGCGCGCUUAACACAUGCAAGUCGCACGAGAAAGUGGAGCAAUCCAUGAGUACAGUGGCGUACGGGUGAGUAACACGUGGAUCAUCUGCCUUUUAGUGGGGAAUAACCCUGGGAAACCGGGGCUAAUACCGCAUAAGCCCGCGAGGGGAAAGCAGCAAUGCGCUGAAAGAGGAGUCCGCGGCUGAUUAGCUAGUUGGCGGGGUAACGGCCCACCAAGGCGAAGAUCGGUAGCCGGCCUGAGAGGGCACACGGCCACACUGGCACUGAAACACGGGCCAGACUCCUACGGGAGGCAGCAGUGGGGAAUCUUGCACAAUGGAGGAAACUCUGAUGCAGCGACGCCGCGUGAGCGAUGAAGCCCUUCGGGGUGUAAAGCUCUUUCGACGGGAACGAUAAUGACGGUACCCGGAGAAGAAGCUGCGGCUAGCUACGUGCCAGCAGCCGCGGUAAUACGUAGGCAGCAAGCGUUGUUCGGAAUUACUGGGCGUAAAGAGUGUGUAGGCGGUGCUCCAAGUCUGUCGUGAAAUCUCCCGGCUCAACUGGGAGGGUGCGGCGGAAACUGNAAUGCUUGAGGGUGGGAGAGGUAAGCGGAAUUCCUGGUGUAGCGGUGAAAUGCGUAGAUAUCAGGAGGAACACCUGUGGUGUAGACAGCUUACUGGACCACUUCUGACGCUGAGACACGAAAGCGUGGGUAGCAAACAGGAUUAGAUACCCUGGUAGUCCACGCCCUAAACGAUGCAUANNNGGUGUGAGCCAUUCAUUUGGUUUGNGCCGGANCUA
rnacentral:rRNA from 1 species